GACGAACGUUGGCGGCGUGCUUAAUACAUGCAAGUCCACUGAAGCAGUGGUAGCAAUAUCGCUGUGGAGGUGGCGCACGGGUGAGUAACACGUAGGUAAUCUGCCUUCAGGUCUGGCAUAACUCCGGGAAACCGGGGCUAAUAGCAGAUGAUGCAGCGGCUCGACAUCGAGACAGUUGUUAAAGCUAUGGCGCCUGAAGAUGAGCCUGCGUCUGAUUAGCUAGUUGGCGGGGUAACGGCCCACCAAGGCAACGAUCAGUAGCUGGUCUGAGAGGAUGAUCAGCCACACUGGAACUGAGACACGGUCCAGACUCCUACGGGAGGCAGCAGUAAGGAAUAUUGCUCAAUGGGAGAAAUCCUGAAGCAGCAACGCCGCGUGAGGGACGAAGGGCUUUGGCUUGUAAACCUCUGUAGUGAGAGAAAAAAAUCCCAAUCUUUGGGACAUGAUGGUAGCUCAAAAGUAAGCCCCGGCUAACUACGUG
rnacentral:rRNA from 1 species